GUGGGGAAUAUUGGACAAUGGGCGAAAGCCUGAUCCAGCCAUGCCGCGUGUGUGAAGAAGGUCUUCGGAUUGUAAAGCACUUUAAGUUGGGAGGAAGGGCAUUAACCUAAUACGUUAGUGUUUUGACGUUACCAACAGAAUAAGCACCGGCUAACUUCGUGCCAGCAGCCGCGGUAAUACGAAGGGUGCAAGCGUUAAUCGGAAUUACUGGGCGUAAAGCGCGCGUAGGUGGUUCAGCAAGUUGAAGGUGAAAUCCCCGGGCUCAACCUGGGAACUGCCUCCAAAACUACUGAGCUAGAGUACGGUAGAGGGUAGUGGAAUUUCCUGUGUAGCGGUGAAAUGCGUAGAUAUAGGAAGGAACACCAGUGGCGAAGGCGACUACCUGGACUGAUACUGACACUGAGGUGCGAAAGCGUGGGGAGCAAACAGGAUUAGAUACCCCUGUAGUCC
rnacentral:rRNA from 1 species